UACGUAGGUGGCAAGCGUUAUCCGGAUUUAUUGGGCGUAAAGGGAACGCAGGCGGUCUUUUAAGUCUGAUGUGAAAGCCUUCGGCUUAACCGGAGUAGAGCAUUGGAAACUGGGAGACUUGAGUGCAGAAGAGGAGAGUGGAACUCCAUGUGUAGCGGUGAAAUGCGUAGAUAUAUGGAAGAACACCAGUGGCGAAAGCGGCUCUCUGGUCUGUAACUGACGCUGAGGUUCGAAAGCGUGGGCAGCAAACAGG
rnacentral:rRNA from 1 species